rnacentral:sRNA from 1 species
AUGAACAGACUGUCGUCUUGUGAAUGCCAGAAGCAAGAGGGGGAAGGGGUGGUGGAAGGGGCGGAGGAAGGGGCGGAGGGCGAUCAUCCAGAUCCCGCUCAGGGUCUCGGUCAUCAUCAAGGUCUCGAUCUAGACUUUCAAAAUUUUCUGGAUAUAGAAUUUCUUCCAAACGACAACUACGAGCUGCCAUUUUAUCAGGAACAGUGUAUGGUGCGAGGGGAUGGAAGAGUCGAUCCCACCGCUGGGAUAACGGAGAGUGUAAUGCCCGAGGUCUGUUACAAUGAUAAGUACAACAUGAGUCAGGAUGGCAAGUCCUUCUACUGGGGGCGCUUCCUCUGCCCCACGGACAGGAGUAUGAGGGGUGACAAGACCUAUUGUUGUGGAAUGAAGGGGCAGCAGUACUGCUGUACUUUCUGGGAAGAUGCAGGACGCGUGGUCGGCGUGCUUUUUGGUCUCUUAGUUAUCGUUGGAAUCGUCGGUAUCACCGUCUACUGUUGUAAAAAGAGAUUUAACAGGUAUAGGUGGAACCGAGCUAUCUUCCGCACCCCACCCAAGGAUCCCCACCAAAUUCCUCCAGACGACCAGGACCAGAAUGCACCACUGCAGACACACCGCCAGGAUGUUAAACAUGUUCCAAUGGUAGGGUCAUCAACGGGAGAUGCCCUUUACACUGCUCCUCAGAAUGACAUAUACCCUUCCAGCGCCCCUCCGCCCUAUGAACUCGCCUGUAAAUCCUCUGGAGAUCUGCCAUGUGACCCAAAUUCAAGCAUUAAGAAGCCUCAAAAGACGCCUAAUGGAUGCCUGCCCUAUUCAACAGCCCCACUCUUCAAUGGGCCACAGUAUGGGAACACAUCUUACUCUACAGGCACCCCGCCCAAUCUCUCUAGCAAUCCUACAAGUUACCCACCCAUUUGAAGCAUGGUUUAUCUACCAAAUAAAGCCCCCUACUCUACCCAAUAAGAUAUGUGCCACAGUGGGAUGUAGUCAGUUUUAUAUGGUCAACAGGCAGACAUUUUAUACAUUUUAUACAAUACCCUUGAAACAUGUGUUUUCACUCUUCUUAGUUUUUUGGGGUUUUUUAUUAGCAUUUUUGUAAUUUAAGAAGCGUUUUAGUCUUCGCAUAUUUUGAAAAUUGUGCAGUUGAUAGAAUAAAUAGAAUUUGACCAAUAUUCCAUCAUCAAAAUGUUUCUCAUGAUGAUGAAGGCCAACGUGUUAUACCAUUUUUUUCAUCCUUUUUCACGUUGGCCUUUUUUAGCCCUCCCAUUUCAAUUAUAUUUUGACAAUCAUCAUUGUAAGGUAUUAGAAUCCCAUCCAUUUGUAAAAAAAAAUUCAUUUUAGAUAUGUUUCUAGAAAGGUUUCUUUUCUAAAGAUCUCUAUGAAAUAGGUUGGAUGUUUAUUCCAUUCCUCUUUCCAAGUCAAGGGUUUCUGAAUCAAUAACCUUGACUUGGGAGGAUUCAUUUUAUUGUACGAAAAAACAACUCUUAAAUAAGAUGCAAAAUAGUCCUCUAAUUAGCAAAUUUUGAAAUAUUGUUUAUUUUAUUGCAAAAUUGAUUUUAUUAUCAUUAUUUAUUGA